rnacentral:lncRNA from 1 species
AACACUGUAAGAGACAGCUGAACUUCUUUAGGCAUUUAUUGUGCUGUGAUCUCCCUGGCAGAUGAGGCUUUCUUCUGCCUUAAAGCUAACAAGGAUACUGGCAAUGCUUCCAAGUCAACCCACAAAGAAGUUCAUUUCUAGUAUUUAAGUCAGCUCCGUGACUGAGAUCACUAAACUAACGUACCUAGGCAAUCCAAGCCACGUGAUCCAGAGGGGAGACCAGCUGAAUCCUCGCUCCUUGAUGUCCAGAGAGGGAUCUGUGGGGUCUGUUGAAAGGAUUUCCAAGGCCUUCAGUAUGACUGAGUGGGAAGCUGCAUUAGAUUUCAGCGCUGAGACAGCUUCAUAGUAGUUCAGAUGAGUCAAAUCAAUCCCAUUUAUACUCAAAAGUACAUCUCCUCGCUUGAUUCUGCCAUCCCUGAAGAGGCACCCAAUGGGCUGUACGCUUGUUACAUAUAUAGGGAGCUUGUUUUUGUUAUCUCGUCCACCUCCAAUUGUUAUUCCUAGGGAUUCCUUUGGUUCCUUCUUUACUGCAACUGUCUUUUCAUGACUUACAUAUCCUGGAGGUAAUUCCUUCUGGUAGUUGGACUUCCGUCUGUAGUGACUCUGGUCUGGUCUUCUCCGGUGAUGCACUGGGCUUCCUCCUCCACUGCUGCUGCUGCUGUUUGACGUGCUGCCAUCUUCCCCUGGGUCUAACAGCUGCACACCUGGCUGCCUCAGGACCACGAAGUUUACUCUGGAUUCACUGGUCUGCCAGGAGCAAAAAGAAUAUGUGAAACCAUUAGAAAGCCAAGUCAAGCAAAAGAAGGCAAAACAGGAUGAUUGCUUCCUCCACUUUGGUACUUGCAACAAGAAUAGUGUAUCGCAACACAAAAUGAACAGCUACAAUGAACAAUCCACACAAUGGACAACCAUGAUAAAAGUAGUGGAUGCUUUUUGUUUUGCUGUAAAGAAACUUCUUAAAGCUCCUUUCCUCCCAGCCUAUACGCCACAUCUGUUGCUGAGCAUUUCUCCCAUCCAUUUUUCCCCCAGAUACCUGGAGACCUGACCUUUUGCCUAAGAUUCCUGCUAGUUAAAAACUCAACCAGCUGUAUAUCUGGCUUUGGCAGAACUACAGGGAAAGCAUUCACUAUUGUUACUGCUCUUCUAUCUGAAAGAACAAACUGAAUUAAUCCAACAAAACCUUAUUGUGAAGGACUCCAUGGGGGUAAGGCGUCUGUGCUUGCUUGGGGCAUUUCCUGCAACAGUUGAGAGAAGUACAGCUGCUGUUCUCACUAUUGGACAUGAACCCCUCUCCUCUGGUGCCACAGCACCAAGCAGCAAUGUAUUCCAUGGCCUGGGAAGAGGAACUGCAUCAACUGCUUUGCUUGUUGCUGUUGUUUUAGUCAGCUGGUUGGUCUGUGUGUGUUUUUAAACUACUGAAGGACAGGGUUUUCACAAAACACAAGUUUUAAGUCUCUCAUCUCCAGAAUCACUCCAGGAUGCAAUUUUUUUCCCCAGUGAAGUUGGCACAUAUCUGUGUCUCCACAAAAUAUAUUGUAAAUACUGCACCCUGCUUUGGGGAUUUGCCCUCCCCUUCAUACAGCAGACUAUGUACAGUACAAAUGGGUGUGCAUAUAUAGCAUAGGUGCAAAUGGCACUUCACAAUACAGAUAGGACUCUUUUUCUCCAAACAGUUUGCAAUCAAAAGUAGAACAAAGUUUAACCAAGAAGCUCUCAGAAGAACAGAUAACUUUUGGAAGAAUAUCAGUUCGACAGAAUGUCACUUCAAAAGGAAUUAAAUUCCCAAAGCCAG